AGGCAUUUACAAAGUGGCAUGAAAUUAAACAGGACAUGUUUGGGAAAGACAUCACAAUCAUUACAUGUCACAAGCUGCCAUAAGAAAGCCCAGAUUAUCUGAACAACAGCAAGGAAGAGCUCUGGGUAUAAUUUACAGAGGGACUUUAAACAUUAGGGAGGAAAAUAUUUCAAACUAACUGUUUGAAGGGCUCUGCCCUCGAUUUUAGUCUCUCGUUGCCUGAAAAUUUUCUGCUACUGUAUUCAUCUAAGCACGGUUUAAUGUCCAUUAAAGGGUUUAGUCCCUCUAAUUCUGCAUAUUUCCCUUUUCAACCUCUCUUCGGGGCGCAGAGUAUUAUCUCUUCCUGGGACCAGUCUUCUGUGCUUAAUUUCAUCACAGCCUGGGAAAAGGCAGCACGUUGAGAUGUUGACGUUCCCAACAUCAGUCAGAAGCUGGAUGAUAAUGACGGCGAACGCUUUCCCACGUUCCCUGCCCAGCGCCGCGAUGCCAAACCCUAUUGUGUUCCACACUCCCCAGCCCACCUGCUCCUUUGGGAGCGAGGUAUUAUCCCCAGGCAAUUCACAGUCAAUUUGCCAUGCUGUAAUGGAUGCUUUCCCAUUGUUCUUGGCACUCAUGGAUUGGCUGGCGACUGUGGGAAACUCCGAGUCGCUCCGGACCCAGACUUUUGUAAUGAGGCUCCUGCCUAUAAAUAGGGAAGAUCCCGUCUCCCUUCUCCACUCCGAGCUGAGAUCAGCCCUUGGCAUAACGGUGCUCUCUCCCUGGACAUCCCAUCGCCCGGAGGGAAGCACAGACUCUGGAUUGGAUUUACAGCAGCUGCACUGCUCCUGGAGAAGGCAUUUCAGAGGCACCAGCCCAACUCUGAGCUGGGGAAAGGCGAAAUCCUGUGGGGGAUGGCUAUGAGCGACCUGGGAUACGGGCGAGCCUUUGCAGCCCCUGCCCAGAGUCCGCAGCAGGAUGAUCCUGACGGGUAGUGUCCCAGAGCGGCUCUGUAAUUCCCGUCACUCCGUUCCAUGGGCGCAGGAACGAGGAGGAACCUGAGCUGCCACUCCCGGGAGUCACAGGUGGCACCUGGGGACUCUGGUUCUUCCUCCGCACCCACCUCCAGCCACCAGCGUCCUGCAAAACCUGCAGCACCGAAGCGAUUCCAAAGCCCCCGGAGACACUGGCAAUUCCGUGAUUUUUGGACGUUUCCCGUAUUCCAGAGGAGACCGUGACUUGCUGUACAAGUCGCCCCCAUUCCUCUCAUGAGUAGGGAAGAAUGUUUCCCCUUUGCAGGUCAUUGCUCUGCUUGGAUGUGAGCUCCCCUUCUCCCAGAAGGACUGCAACGAUCCCACCGCGUGGAGAGGAAGUUGUUCUGAGGGAUUGUGAGCUGUAUCCUCCUGCUGGGAGGGCUGGAGGGGUCGUUCAGAGCGGAACAACGGCUGUUCUUAACCUCUGCGAGGUUGCCCAUGUACCUCUGUUGAGAAAGCUGUAACCCCUGGGGCGCUUAGAAUUCCCAGAAGUGUCCCUGCGGUAGGAGCCUUUUCCUCUGACUCCUCGGGGUCCCAGGGCAUCCACACCUGGAAUGUCCCCGGGUCUCACUGGACACAUUUGGGAAUCUGGCCUUCCCGCGGUGACAUGAGGGGUUCUAUAAUAUUUAUAGUCUGUACUGAGCACCCUCUGAGAAUGGUUAAACCAUAUCCCAAACUAUGUAGAGGAAAUUCCUCGGGAUGUCUUGCUCACGAGCCAAGGCUCUUCUGAGCUUCAGGAUGCGUGUGUGCCUUUUGUAAAGGCUGGAGGUCGUUUUUAUGUCCUUAUAGGACUGAAAGUUACAGCUGUGCUGUCGAUUAUAAAAGCAUUAUUUAUCAAGGUCUUUCAUGAAAGGCAGGUGUUUAAAUUAUAUUUACUUUUGGUACCCUUUUGCCAAGGGAAAAUGGGAAUUUGUUAUUGUCCUUGGAGGAUGUUACGAUGCGUUCUGUGCAAGCUGCACCAAUGUAUGACCUGUGCCUGAGUUAUCUUAAAUGUCAGAAGUUGCAGAAACUUUUAACCAUCAAAAAUAAAUACAAAUCUGGUCAAUCAAUCCAAAGUUGUUCUUUUUUUGAAGUAGUUUUUACAGCUACCUUCCCUGUGGUCAACAGACAUGAGAGAGAUUUCAGUGAAAGCAGAGAUAUUCAGAUUUUACACUGAAUUUCCCCACCAGUUCUGUGUGCAUUGGGACCCCUGCAAUGCUGUUUUCCAUAGCUUGGGAAUAUCAAGCCCUAGCUCUCAGUGUGAGACAAAAAUAACAGCAUACCCAAGCAGCCAAUUCUCUGGGAAUUCAGAGCCAAGAAAGGUCACUGCAAGGGUGAAAAAAAUCAAGGAAUGGUUUGGUUGGGAGAGAUCAUAAAUAUCUUCUAUUUCCAACCCCUUGUCACAGGUAGGGACACCAAACACAGGAAGUAUUUUUGAUUAAGAAAUAAAGUUUUCCAAGGCACCUCACGGCACAAUUCACAUUCCUGGGGAUGUGUCCGGGUCACAAAACACUUGGAAACACUCAGGGGGUUAAAAUUCAGGGGUUUGGCUACAGUGAACACGCGGGGGGGCUGCUCCGUGGCUGUGUGGGUGUAUCGGUGUCCUCGACCCCGGCCCCCGUGAGCUACCGGGGAUCCCCCGCACUACCCCCGGCGGCCUCUCCUCCCAUUCCUCUCCAUGUUUCACCGAAGGGCUCUCUGCCCUCCCUCUCCAUCCCCUCCAAGUGCCUCCCACAGUGUCUCAUCGACCCCACUACGGGUCUGUCCUUAUCCACCUCCUCGCUCCUCCCGAGGUCUCUGCUCCGGGCUCUCUCUCCGUUCUCCCACGCUGUCCCCGGAGGUCUCAUCUCACCCUCCCUGGGGUAACCCCUCUUCAAUUUCCCCCGAGGGUCUCUCUACUCGUUUCUCCCUCCCCACCCCCGUUUUCCCGGGGAUC